rnacentral:rRNA from 1 species
UACGUAGGGGGCUAGCGUUGUCCGGAUUUAUUGGGCGUAAAGAGCGUGUAGGCGGCCAGGUAGGUCUGCUGUGAAAACUCGAGGCUUAACCUCGAGAUGUCGGCGGAAACCAUCUGGCUAGAGUCCGGAAGAGGAGAGUGGAAUUCUUGGUGUAGCGGUGAAAUGCGUAGAUAUCAAGAGGAACACCUGCGGCGAAGGCGGGUUGCUGGGCCGACACUGACGCUGAGGCGCGAAAGCUAGGGGAGCGAACGGG